rnacentral:rRNA from 1 species
AGGACAGAGUCGGAGGUAUCCGGGGAGACAGGUGGUGCAUGGUUGUCGUCAGGCUCGUGUCGUGAGAUGUUGGGUUAAGUCCCGCAACGAGCGCAACCCUUAUCGUUAGUUGCUACCAUUAGGUUGAGCACUCUAGCGAGACUGCCCGGGUUAACCGGGAGGAAGGUGGGGAUGACGUCAAAUCAUCAUGCCCCUUAUGUCUAGGGCUACACACGUGCUACAAUGGUGAGGACAAAGAGACGCAAGACCGCGAGGUGGAGCAAAUCUCACAAACCUCAUCCCGGUUCGGAUUGCAGGCUGAAACUCGCCUGCAUGAAGCCGGAGUUGCUAGUAAUCGCGAAUCAGCAUGUCCGCGGUCGAAUACGUUCCCGGGCCUU